GAUGAAGAACGUAGCGAAAUGCGAUAAGUAAUGUGAAUUGCAGAAUUCAGUGAAUCAUCGAAUCUUUGAACGCACAUUGCGCCCCUUGGUAUUCCGAGGGGCAUGCCUGUUCGAGCGUCAUUAUAACCCCUCAAGCUCGGCUUGGUGUUGGGGCCUGCCGCACGGGCAGCCCUUAAAAUCAGUGGCGGUGCCAUCUGGCUCUAAGCGUAGUAAUUCUUCUCGCUAUAGAGUCCCGGUGGAUGCUUGCCAUUAACCCCCAAUUUUAAUGGUUGACCUCGGAUCAGGUAGGGAUACCCGCUGAACUUAAGCAUAUCAAUAAGCGGAGGA
rnacentral:misc_RNA from 1 species